AUGAACUUCUCAACAGUUAUAGAGGAUUACAAUGACCUCAAACAUCGGAACUCUAUAUUUAUUUUCGGAGCUUGAGCUGGAAUAGUAGGUACAGCCCUUAGUCUUAUUAUUCGUGCUGAAUUAGGUCAACCAGGAAGCCUUAUUGAGGGUGACCAAAUUUACAAUGUAGUAGUUACAGCUCACGCUUUCGUUAUAAUUUUCUUUAUAGUUAUGCCUAUUAUAAUUGGAGGUUUCGGAAUUGGCUUGUCCCUUUAAUGUUAGGUGCUCCAGAUAUGGCAUUUCCCGAAUAAAUAAUAUAAGUUUCUGACUUUUACCCCUUCGCUAACUUUACUUUUAUCUAGAGGUAUAGUCGAAAAAGGAGUGGGAACUGGAUGAACAGUAUACCCUCCUUUAUCAGCCAGAAUUGCUCACGCAGGUGCUUCAGUUGAUCUAGGUAUUUUUUCAUUACAUUUAGCAGGGGUCUCAUCAAUCUUAGGAGCUGUAAACUUUAUAACGACCGUUAUCAAUAUACGAUCUACAGGGAUAACUAUAGACCGAAUACCACUUUUUGUUUGAGCAGUAUUUAUUACAGCUCUACUCCUACUGUUAUCUUUACCAGUCCUAGCAGGAGCUAUUACUAUACUAUUAACAGAUCGUAAUUUAAAUACAUCCUUCUUUGAUCCAGCAGGAGGUGGUGACCCAGUCUUAUAUCAACAUUUAUUUUGAUUUUUUUCGGUCAUCCUGAAGUAUAUAUUUUAAUUCUUCCUGCUUUUGGGAUAAUCUCACAUAUUAUUAGUCAAGAGUCUGGUAAAAAAGAAGCUUUUGGAACAUUAGGAAAAAUCUAUGCUAUACUAGCCAUUGGUGUUCUAGGAUUUGUAGUAUGAGCUCAUCAUAUAUUUACUGUAGGUAUAGACGUUGAUACUCGUGCUUACUUUACAUCUGCUACGAUAAUUAUUGCUGUCCCGACGGGUAUUAAGAUCUUCAGCUGACUAGGAACAUUACACGGUACUCAAUUGAAUUAUAGUCCUUCUUUAAUUUGGGCAUUAGGGUUUGUAUUUUUAUUUACAGUUGGGGGUCUAACAGGAGUUGUCCUUGCUAAUUCAUCUAUUGAUAUUAUCUUGCACGAUACUUAUUAUGUAGUAGCCCACUUCCACUAUGUUCUUUCAAUAGGAGCCGUAUUUGGUAUUUUUGCAGGUAUUGCCCACUGAUUUCCUCUUUUUACCGGUUUAACCCUGAACCCAAAAUGAUUAAAAAUCCACUUUCUAGUUAUAUUUAUUGGGGUAAACAUUACAUUUUUCCCUCAACAUUUUUUAGGGCUUAAUGGUAUGCCUCGACGCUAUUCAGAUUAUCCAGACGCCUACACAGCAUGAAAUGUUAUAUCAUCUAUUGGAUCUACAGUAUCAUUAAUUGCAGUACUAGGUUUUGUUAUAAUUGUAUGAGAAGCCUUAACUGUAGCUCGACCAGUUAUAUUUUCUUUAUUUUUACCUACUUCGAUUGAAUGACAGCAUAAUCUCCCACCCGCAGAUCAUAGUUAUAUAGAAAUUCCUUUAAUUACUAAUUUCUAAAAUGGCAGAUAGAUGCAUAGGAUUUAAGCUCCUACCAGGAAGAAUAUCUUCUUCUUUUAGAAAACUUAUGCCAACAUGAGGUCACUUAGGUUUACAAGAUAGAGCUUCUCCUCUUAUAGAACAAUUAAUUUUUUUCCAUGAUCACGCUAUAGUAGUAUUAAUUUUAAUUACAACAUUAGUUGGAUAUAUAAUAUCAACUUUAUUUUUUAAUAAUUUUACAAAUCGCUUCUUAUUGGAAGGACAAACUAUUGAAAUUGUAUGGACAGUACUUCCCGCUCUAAUUUUAAUUUUUAUUGCACUUCCUUCUUUACGAUUACUAUAUCUAUUAGAUGAAGUUAAUAAUCCAAGUGUUACCUUGAAAACUAUUGGACACCAAUGGUACUGAAGUUACGAGUACUCAGACUUUUUACAAAUUGAAUUUGACUCUUAUAUAAUUCCAUCAAAUGAAUUAUCAGAAGACGGAUUUCGACUUUUAGAUGUGGAUAAUCGAACUGUUCUACCUAUGAAUACUCAAAUUCGAGUAUUAAUUAGAGCUGCUGAUGUUAUUCAUUCAUGAACAGUACCUGCCCUUGGUGUAAAAGCAGAUGCAAUUCCAGGGCGACUUAAUCAAGUAAGUUUUUUAAUAAAUCGACCAGGAUUAUUUUAUGGUCAAUGUUCAGAAAUUUGUGGGGCAAAUCAUAGAUUUAUGCCUAUUGUUGUUGAAAGUGUAUCAGUUAAAUCAUUUUUAAACUGGAUUUCCUCAGCUAGAGAAGCUU